ACGAUGAGCCUGCGGCCUAUUAGCCUGUUGGUGGGGUAACGGCCUACCAAAGCUACGAUAGGCAGCCGACCUGAGAGGGUGACCGGCCACAUUGGGACUGAGAUACGGCCCAGACUCCUACGGGAGGCAGCAGCUGAGAAUCUUCCACAAUGGA
rnacentral:rRNA from 1 species